rnacentral:tRNA from 1 species
AGGGAUUUAGCUCAGCAGCAUAAGUGCCUGCCUUGCAAGCAGGCAGUUGUGAGUUCAAUCCCUG